AGGAUUUUAGUUUAUAAAAACAUUUGAUUUGCAUUCAAAAAAUACUAAAAUAUUUUAGUGUAUCUU
rnacentral:tRNA from 1 species